rnacentral:rRNA from 1 species
AUUGAACGCUGGCGGCAGGCCUAACACAUGCAAGUCGAACGAGUGGCGGACGGGUGAGUGAUGGCUGGGAAACUGCCUGAUGGAGGGGUCUAACUACUGGAAACGGUGGCUAAUACCGCAUACCAUCAGAUGUGCCCAGAUGGGAUUAGCUAGUUGUUGGGGUAACGGCUCACCAAGGCGACGAUCCCUAGCUGGUCUGAGAGGCUGACCGGCCACACUGGAACUGAGACACGGUCCAGACUCCUACGGGAGGCAGCAGUGGGGAAUAUUGCACAAUGGGCGAAAGCCUGAUGCAGCCAUGCCGCGUGUGUGAAGAAGGCCUUCGGGUUGUAAAGUACUUUUAGCGGGGAGGCGGUACCCGCAGAAGAAGCACCGGCUAACUCCGUGCCAGCAGCCGCGGUAAUAC